UACGUAGGGGGCGAGCGUUGUCCGGAGUUACUGGGCGUAAAGGGUGCGUAGGCGGUUUGAUAAGUCUGAUGUGAAAUCUAUGGGCUCAACCCAUAGUCUGCAUUAGAAACUGUCGGGCUUGAGUAUGGGAGAGGUGAGUGGAAUUUCCGGUGUAGCGGUGAAAUGCGUAGAUAUCGGAAGGAACACCUGUGGCGAAAGCGGCUCACUGGACCAUUACUGACGCUGAUGCACGAAAGCUAGGGGAGCAAACAGG
rnacentral:rRNA from 1 species